UACGUAGGGGGCAAGCGUUGUCCGGAUUUAUUGGGCGUAAAGAGCGUGUAGGCGGCUUGACAGGUCUGCUGUGAAAACUCGAGGCUCAACCUCGAGAUGUCGGCGGAAACCGUCUGGCUAGAGUCCGGAAGAGGAGAGUGGAAUUCCUGGUGUAGCGGUGAAAUGCGCAGAUAUCAGGAAGAACACCUAUGGCGAAGGCAGCUCUCUGGGCCACUACUGACGCUGAGAAGCGAAAGCAUGGGGAGCGAACAGG
rnacentral:rRNA from 1 species